rnacentral:rRNA from 1 species
CGGAGGAAAAGAAACCAACAGGGAUUGCCCCAGUAACGGCGAGUGAAGCGGCAAAAGCUCAAAUUUGAAAUCCUGCGGGAAUUGUAAUUUGAAGGUUUCGUGGUCUGAGUCGGCCGCGCCCAAGUCCAUUGGAACAUGGCGCCUGGGAGGGUGAGAGCCCCGUAUGGCGCACGCCGACUCUUUGCACCGCGGCUCCGACGAGUCGAGUUGUUUGGGAAUGCAGCUCUAAGUGGGUGGUAAAUUCCAUCUAAAGCUAAAUAUUGGCGAGAGACCGAUAGCGAACAAGUACAGUGAUGGAAAGAUGAAAAGCACUUUGAAAAGAGAGUGAAACAGCACGUGAAAUUGUUGAAAGGGAAGGGCUUGCAAGCAGACACGGUUUUACCGGGCCAGCGUCGAAAAGGGGGGAGGAACAAGAACUCGAGAAUGUGGCGCGCACCUUCGGGCGCGCGUGUUAUAGCUCGUGUUGACGCCUCCAUCCCUUUUCGAGGCCUGCGAUUCUAGGACGCUGGCGUAAUGGUUGCAAGCCGCCCGUCUUG